AUACGGAGGGUGCAAGCGUUGUUCGGAAUCACUGGGCGUAAAGGGCGCGCAGGCGGUUUGAUUAGUCAGAUGUGAAAGCCCACGGCUUAACCGUGGAAGUGCAUUUGAAACUGUCAGACUUGAGUAUCAGAGGGGAAAGUGGAAUUCCCGGUGUAGAGGUGAAAUUCGUAGAUAUCGGGAGGAAUACCGGUGGCGAAGGCGACUUUCUGGCUGAAUACUGACGCUGAGGCGCGAAAGCGUGGGGAGCAAACAGCAUUAGAAACCCCAGUAGUCC
rnacentral:rRNA from 1 species